CGGCGUGCUUAACACAUGCAAGUCGAACGGAAAGGCCCUGCUUUUGUGGGGUGCUCGAGUGGCGAACGGGUGAGUAACACGUGAGUAACCUGCCCUUGACUUUGGGAUAACUUCAGGAAACUGGGGCUAAUACCGGAUAGGAGCUCCUGCUGCAUGGUGGGGGUUGGAAAGUUUCGGCGGUUGGGGAUGGACUCGCGGCUUAUCAGCUUGUUGGUGGGGUAGUGGCUUACCAAGGCUUUGACGGGUAGCCGGCCUGAGAGGGUGACCGGCCACAUUGGGACUGAGAUACGGCCCAGACUCCUACGGGAGGCAGCAGUGGGGAAUAUUGCACAAUGGGCGGAAGCCUGAUGCAGCAACGCCGCGUGCGGGAUGACGGCCUUCGGGUUGUAAACCGCUUUCGCCUGUGACGAAGCGUGAGUGACGGUAAUGGGUAAAGAAGCACCGGCUAACUACGUGCCAGCAGCCGCGGUGAUACGUAGGGUGCGAGCGUUGUCCGGAUUUAUUGGGCGUAAAGGGCUCGUAGGUGGUUGAUCGCGUCGGAAGUGUAAUCUUGGGGCUUAACCCUGAGCGUGCUUUCGAUACGGGUUGACUUGAGGAAGGUAGGGGAGAAUGGAAUUCCUGGUGGAGCGGUGGAAUGCGCAGAUAACAGGAGGAACACCAGUGGCGAAGGCGGUUCUCUGGGCCUUUCCUGACGCUGAGGAGCGAAAGCGUGGGGAGCGAACAGGCUUAGAUACCCUGGUAGUCCACGCUGUAAACGGUGGGUACUAGGUGUGGGGUCCAUUCCACGGGUUCCGUGCCGUAGCUAACGCUUUAAGUACCCCGCCUGGGGAGUACGGCCGCAAGGCUAAAACUCAAAGGAAUUGACGGGGCCCCGCACAAGCGGCGGAGCAUGCGGAUUAAUUCGAUGCAACGCGUAGAACCUUACCUGGGUUUGACAUGGAUCGGGAGUGCUCAGAGAUGGGUGUGCCUCUUUUGGGGUCGGUUCACAGGUGGUGCAUGGCUGUCGUCAGCUCGUGUCGUGAGAUGUUGGGUUAAGUCCCGCAACGAGCGCAACCCUUGUUCACUGUUGCCAGCACGUUAUGGUGGGGACUCAGUGGAGACCGCCGGGGUCAACUCGGAGGAAGGUGGGGAUGACGUCAAGUCAUCAUGCCCCUUAUGUCCAGGGCUUCACGCAUGCUACAAUGGCUGGUACAGAGAGUGGCGAGCCUGUGAGGGUGAGCGAAUCUCGGAAAGCCGGUCUCAGUUCGGAUUGGGGUCUGCAACUCGACCUCAUGAAGUCGGAGUCGCUAGUAAUCGCAGAUCAGCAACGCUGCGGUGAAUACGUUCCCGGGGCUUGUACACACCGCCCGUCAAGUCAUGAAAGUUGGUAACACCCGAAGCCGGUGGCCUAACCGUUGUGGGGGAGCCGUCGAAGGUGGGACUGGUGAU
rnacentral:rRNA from 1 species